rnacentral:misc_RNA from 1 species
GAUGAAGAACGUAGCGAAAUGCGAUAAGUAGUGUGAAUUGCAGAAUUCAGUGAAUCAUCGAAUCUUUGAACGCACAUUGCGCCCCUUGGUAUUCCAUGGGGCAUGCCUGUUCGAGCGUCAUUUGUACCUUCAAGCUUUGCUUGGUGUUGGGUGUUUGUCCAUUCUCUUGCAGAGGGACUCGCCUUAAAGUAAUUGGCAGCCAGUGUUUUGGUUUUGAAGCGCAGCACAAGUCGCGAUUCAAAGCUAUACGCCCGCUUCCACAAGCCUUUUUCACUUUUGACCUCGGAUCAGGUAGGGAUACCCGCUGAACUUAAGCAUAUCAAUAAGCGAAGGA